rnacentral:rRNA from 1 species
AGUGGCGAACGGGUGAGUAACACGUGAGCAAUCUGCCCCUGACUCUGGGAUAAGCGCUGGAAACGGCGUCUAAUACCGGAUACGAGCUGCGGCCGCAUGGUCGGCAGUUGGAAAGAUUUUUCGGUCAGGGAUGAGCUCGCGGCCUAUCCGCUUGUUGGUGAGGUAAUGGCUCACCAAGCGUCGACGGGUAGCCGGCCUGAGAGGGUGACCGGCCACACUGGGACUGAGACACGGCCCAGACUCCUACGGGAGGCAGCAGUGGGGAAUAUUGCACAAUGGGCGGAAGCCUGAUGCAGCAACGCCGCGUGAGGGAUGACGGCCUUCGGGUUGUAAACCUCUUUUAGCAGGGAAGAAGCGAAAGUGACGGUACCUGCAGAAAAAGCGCCGGCUAACUACGUGCCAGCAGCCGCGGUAAUACGUAGGGCGCAAGCGUUAUCCGGAAUUAUUGGGCGUAAAGAGCUCGUAGGCGGUCUGUCGCGUCUGCUGUGAAAUCCCGAGGCUCAACCUCGGGUCUGCAGUGGGUACGGGCAGACUAGAGUGCGGUAGGGGAGAUUGGAAUUCCUGGUGUAGCGGUGGAAUGCGCAGAUAUCAGGAGGAACACCGAUGGCGAAGGCAGAUCUCUGGGCCGUAACUGACGCUGAGGAGCGAAAGGGUGGGGAGCAAACAGGCUUAGAUACCCUGGUAGUCCACCCCGUAAACGUUGGGAACUAGUUGUGGGGUCCAUUCCACGGAUUCCGUGACGCAGCUAACGCAUUAAGUUCCCCGCCUGGGGAGUACGGCCGCAAGGCUAAAACUCAAAGGAAUUGACGGGGACCCGCACAAGCG